rnacentral:rRNA from 1 species
AGGACGAACGCUGGCGGCGUGCCUAAUACAUGCAAGUCGAACGGUCUUUCUAUGGAAGCUUGCUUCCACUGAAAAGAUAGUGGCGAACGGGUGAGUAACACGUGGGUAACCUGCCCAUAAGAGGGGGGAUAACAUCCGGAAACGGGUGCUAAUACCGCAUAGUUUUCUUGAUCGCAUGAUUGAGAAAGGAAAGACGGCCUUUGUGCUGUCGCUUAUGGAUGGACCCGCGGCGUAUUAGUUAGUUGGUGAGGUAACGGCUCACCAAGACGAUGAUACGUAGCCGACCUGAGAGGGUGAUCGGCCACAUUGGGACUGAGACACGGCCCAAACUCCUACGGGAGGCAGCAGUAGGGAAUCUUCCGCAAUGGACGAAAGUCUGACGGAGCAACGCCGCGUGAGUGAAGAAGGUUUUCGGAUCGUAAAACUCUGUUGUCAGAGAAGAACAAGUUGGAGGGUAACUGCUCCAGCCUUGACGGUAUCUGACCAGAAAGCCACGGCUAACUACGUGCCAGCCGCCGC